UAUAAUUUAGUUUACAGGAACAUUAAAUUUUGAUUUUAAAAGAAACAGUGUGAUUCCGUUAAUUAUAA
rnacentral:tRNA from 1 species